rnacentral:rRNA from 1 species
CCUACGGGUGGCAGCAGUGGGGAAUAUUGCACAAUGGGGGCAACCCUGAUGCAGCAACGCCGCGUGUGUGAAGAAGGAUUUCGGUAUGUAAAGCCCUAUCAGCAGGGAAGAGAAUGACGGUACCUGACUAAGCAGCCCUGGCUAACGACGUGCCAGCAGCCGCGGUAUUACUGAGGGGGCAAGCGUUAUGCGGAUUUACUGGGUGUAAAGGUAGCGUAGACGGUUGUGCAAGUCUGAAGUGAAAGCCCGCGGCUCAACUGGGGAACGGCUUGGGAGACUGUCUAAAUGGAGUCUUGGAGAGGUAGGCAGAAUUCCUGGUGUAGCGGUGAAAUGCGUAGAGAUCAGGAGGAACACCGGCGGCGAAGGCGGCUUACUGGACAGUAACUGACGCUGAGGCUCGAAAGCGUGGGGAGCAAACAGGAUUAGAUACCCGAGUAGUC